GUUUUAAUAGUUUAAUUUAAAACAUUGGUCUUGUAAACCAAAAAUAAGAAAUACUUUUAAAACU
rnacentral:tRNA from 1 species